rnacentral:lncRNA from 1 species
CACAAAGUAAUCAGAUUUCAUAUAAAGUUUAAAAGUAUAUUGUCUAACCCCAAAAUGAUUACAAAACAACUAUUUAUAAUAUAAAUUCCUAAGGUAGUCGAAUGGCUAAUAAGAUGCUGAAUGGUCAGCCAAAAUUAAAACAAAAGAGGCUGGAAAUUUCCAGCAACCUUCCUAGGACAUUUUUGGGAAGCUUCAUGCAUGAAGAAUUCAAUUGGACAGCUUCUAGAUGGAGUCCAUUCAGCUGGACAUUAAUGGAAGUAUUGGUGAGCUGAAUAAGAGGUCUUGGUUCGGCCAAUGAAGUUGAAUGCACCUUAAUGAAGCCUCCUUGUGAGCUGAACAGCUUGCCCAUUUUUAAUGACGUUUUGGGGAUCUCCAACAGCCCAUGGUGUGAACAUCAAAUAGGAACAGCCUUGUGUGUGUGAACUCAUGAAACUGAAUGGCCAAAAGAUAGCAAAAAUUUAUUUAUCAGCUGGGGCGUCCUCCAAGGUAAUUAAGAGCUGAAUUGAGCUGCUUUGGAAAGUGAAAAGAAACUCCCAAAAAAGCCCUUGCUGUUCAUGAAGGAAUGCAUGGAGGAGAGCAAUCAGCAGUAAUUAAAUGCCGUCCAUGCCCAAAUUCCUGCACCAAAUUAAAACAGCCUUUAAUUCUUGUUUUAAGACAAAAAUAAAUACAUGCAAUAUGGCCCAUAAAUUCGGCAGUAGCUUCUUUAAUGAAUUCCAACAUGCUUUCUUCAACAUCUCAUUGAAUGCUUGUCUUUGCUGCACAUUAAAUUCGGCAAGCAUGCACCCAUUAAAUCUGUCCAUUAAAUGGCCACAUGAAAAAGCACCAGCAGCUCCUUUAAUGCCGUCCAAGGAAGGAGGUACCAACAUGAAUUAAUUCAGCAAAUUAAAUCCAUUGUGGGCACAUUAAAUUCGGCAGCAAAGAAUUAAACCUUCUUUAAUUUUUGUCCCCAUUUCCAUGCACCUGUACACAUUUAAAUUAGCCAUUAACUCAAGUUUAAGACAAAAUAAAAUUUGGUCAACAAGGCAUAUUAAAUUCGUCAACCACACAAGGACACAUUAAUUCUGCUCAUAAAUUCGGCUGACUUAAACAUGAUAAAUUAGCAGCCAAGACACAACAAUUAGCUGUAAUAAAAAAUACACAUUAAUUCGUCAAUUAAAUUGUCUUAGGCUGGAACAUAUUAAAUGAUGUAAUGAGCUAACUAAGACAUAUUAAAUUGCUGUACUAAAUAAAACACAAUCAAUUAAACUCAAGAAAUAUUAAAGAUGUUCAGAUUUAAACUAAUUAAUUUACUAACACUUAUUUGAGCUAAAUUAAAUAACUAAAUUAACUUAUUCAAUUUAUUCAAUUUAUUCCAGCAAAUGAGUUUGUAAAAUUAAAAUAAACUCAAUAUGAGCAAAACGAUCCCAUUGAACUGGAAACGAACUAAACAGAGCUCAGUGAGAUGCAAUUGAGCUAAUUUAGCUCGCAUGGGUGUGCAAGAAAUACUUAUGGAGCUGAUCGAAAAAUGUGCCCGGGGCGUGGUCGUAUCAUCUCCUCCCUCUUUAAGGCGAUUUGUCCUCUAAUCGGGCCACUUGCUCAAGAAAAAUUUUUCAAGAUCUCGAACCCUUUUGUUCAUGAUCUGAAUAGAAUCAUUUCUAAAACUUUGAAAAUCACAAAUGGUUCGAUAAGAAAUUGAAUUAUUUCCACGCCCUUCCUCUUUAAGAGGGAAACAAUUUAGAGUGUCACCUACACGAGAAUGAAAGGAAUUAGAGACACUAAAAAUUAUAAACACAAAUGAUCUUUUCAGAUGCUUAUUCAAAAUUGGGAUGCUUAACCCAAUGCCAGGAUCAAAAAUGAAAUUUGGUCUUACCUUUCCAAAAUGAAUCAAAAAGUUCAUAGAUAGAAACAAAUCCGAACCACAAAACAGUCGAAAGGCAUAAUCUCGAAAGUCAAAAUUGCAAAAUCCAAACCCUUUUAACAAGAACAAAGAAUAAUAAUCUCCGGGGUCAAAAACGAAGCUUCCUCUUGCUUGGCUUGACGUUAACUUAGGAAUGUAUAUCCCAGGUUUAAAAACGCAAUUUUCAUUGGUCGUUUCGCAACGCAACGAAAAUUUCUUCUUCACCAAGACUUCACACAUGUCAAGCAAAUAGGAGUUAGGCAUACAUACAUUCGAGCAAUCAAACCCUUCAUAUUUCAUUCGCACACGUAAACAAGGAAAGUUCACACCACAAUUUAGAUAAUUCACAUGAUCAUCACAAGCAAACAGAUUAGAUGUCAACUUUUCAUCACACAAUCCCAAUUUUUGUUUGGGCUUACCUGGACUUACUUCUUGAUCAAUCUUGACAAUGAUAGGCUCAUGAGAAGAAAGAUAUUUCACAUUACUAUGUAAAACACAUUUAUCAACAAUCAAAUUAUGAUUUCCAAUCAGAUCAAGAUGAAAAACUUUCUCACAAACUAAGUCUUUGCUAAUCUCGUCAUCAAGAAUCAAGUAAGAUUGAGAAGACUCAAAUACAGUAGAUCCCUUACAUGGCUUACCUUUAAGCACUUGUGGACUAGGGUCAUCUACGAUCUUACCUUUCUCGACUAAUCGAAAUCGUUUCUCCUUAGAAAAGUAUUGAAGUUGAAAUUGAUCGAUGGGGUUUCGAGAAACCUGAAAAGUAGAAACAAAAUAAGGAAAAUUCAUAGGAUGGUUAGUAACAACACUCCUUUCUUUUUCACUUUCAUCCUUUUCAUUUCUUUCUUUUUCCAACUCAUUUUCAAAUCCUCUUUCUUUUACCAUAUCACUCAUUUCUUUUGCACUCUCGUUUCUUCCUUCAAUCUCACUCUCUUUUUUGGUUUCUUUUUUUUUCGCACUCGUUUUUAUUCUCAAUCUCAUUUUCAAUUUUCUUUUCUAUCUCCCACUCAUCUUCUUUUUCUUUCAUUUCUUUUUCAUGUUCAUUUUCUCGCUCGUGCUCUUUUUCUUUUUGUCUUGUUCUUUCAUUACAAAAAGAUGAUAACUUAUAAGAACCAUAACGACAAGCUUCUCGUUCGAAAGAAAUGGCAGAUUCAUCAUGCAAGUCACGAUCAUCUCUUUGUGAAUAACCCUCCGUAUUCGAGUACUUUGACACUCUUGAAACACGUUCGCCUCUUCGUAAAUAAUCCUUCGUAGAUGAAUAAAUUGAGGCACUUGUAGAGACAUGUUUACCUUUUCGUUUAUCAUCUCUGAAGGACUCAAACUCGGAGUUUGCUUCUCUUGGUCUCGAAUGCCUUGUUGAAUAAACGUCUUGAUAAGAGUCUCUUGUCGAGUAGUGUCGUCGGGAUGAUCUUAACUCCGUCUCUUGACUCGAUGAAAUUUGCUUUCGUUGGGCUCUUUUCUCUACUCGAUCCAAUCGGUCAUGCAAUUUAUCAAAAUUUGAUUUCACCAUUCUACGCACUUCUUGCAUCAAAUAUUGGAAUUCUGAUUCGAAAAAUUCUUCUUGAUACAUUUUUUUUUGCUAAAAGAGAAAAAAAAAAUGAUUAAAAUACAAUAGAAAAUAAAUACCUCACCACACAAAAAAAAAAUCUCACGUUUCACUCACAAAGAAAAUUCACACAAUUUGGCUUUUACUUCUCUCGAAUGGUCUCACCAAUCACUCUUGCCUUUUUUUUCCACUCGAUUUUCGCCUCUCAAAGUUCUUCGCAAACUAAAUCGACGAAUCAAUACCGUUUGGCGUCGGCUUACAAAAUUGAUUUGGCUUGGUGGGUAAUGAUGUCGGAAAUGGUAGGUUAUAAAACAAAAUAGGAAUGGUUAAGUGUGGCUAUAUAGAUAUGGUCUUUCGGGCAAAAAGCAAUGCUUUUACAAACCCAAAAUAAAUUUCAAUCACUCUUUUUUUUUUUCAAUUUCGAUUUUUUUCUUUUUUUUUAAUUUCGAAUUUUUUUCUUAUUUUUUUUCUUCAAUACUAAAUACAAAAAGUAAAAAUAAAUUGAAUACAAACUUUUUUUUUGAAUUUUUUUUUUUCAAAUUUUUUUUUUGAAUUUUUUUUUUACAAUACCGAAAUGCCGAUAACUUCGAUUCUUACUCCGAUUCAGCUAGCUCUGAUACCAAAUGAUGUGCCCCGGCUCGGGAAGGAGAAUCGAGUCGUAGAUGUGCCCGAUCGUGAAUUGGAGUAAUUUGAAAGCUUUACAAAAUAGGCUAGAAGAAAAGGAAUUAUUUAGGCUCAAAAGAGUUUUGUUGGUUUAGGAAAUGAAUUAGAAGACAAUGGAUGUAAUUUGGCUAAGGAUUCAAAAGCCGAACUAACACAAUAGUAGUGUGUUAACCCGUAACUUAUGAGAAUGCUUAGGUUGGUAAGGUGUCAAUGGAAGGUUUGUUAAGUGGAUAGAAACUUUGACCCGCUAUCAAAAAUGAUAGGAACCUCAGUACGAAUCGAACGCCACACUUUCGGGAUUAAAGUGAUAAGUUCGGAUAGAAAGAUGGGUUGACGCCACAAGGGUUACUUGAUAAGUCAGACGAGUCUUUGGAGAACAAUGAGAGUUGAAAACAAACUCACAAAGUAAUCAGAUUUCAUAUAAAGUUUAAAAGUAUAUUGUCUAACCCCAAAAUGAUUACAAAACAACUAUUUAUAAUAUAAAUUCCUAAGGUAGUCGAAUGGCUAAUAAGACGCUGAAUGGUCAGCCAAAAUUAAAACAAAAGAGGCUGGAAAUUUCCAGCAACCUUCCUAGGACAUUUUUGGGAAGCUUCAUGCAUGAAGAAUUCAAUUGGGCAGCUUCUAGGUGGAGUCCAUUCAGCUGGACAUUAAUGGAAGUAUUGGUGAGCUGAAUAAGAGGUCUUGGUUCGGCCAAUGAAGUUGAAUGCACCUUAAUGAAGCCUCCUUGUGAGCUGAACAGCUUGCCCAUUUUUAAUGACGUUUUGGGGAUCUCCAACAGCCCAUGGUGUGAACAUCAAAUAGGAACAGCCUUGUGUGUGUGAACUCAUGAAAUUGAAUGGCCAAAAGAUAGCAAAAAUUUAUUUAUCAGCUGGGGCGUCCUCCAAGGUAAUUAAAGAGCUGAAUUGAGCUGCUUUGGAAAGUGAAAAGAAACUCCCAAAAAGGCCCUUGCUG